UGAACAUGUUUUUUAGAAAAAAUAUUAUUUACAUGUUGAAAUAUAUGAACAUGUCAACAUAAUAUUUUAAACAUUUUUUUUUUUUUUUUUUCAAACGAAAUCCAAAAUUCUAAAAAUUAAUAACGAUAACGCGUUAAAUGUAAAUGUGCGAAAUCGGCCGUUCGCACAAUAAUAUUAAUGUUUUUUUUUUCUCUUUUUUUAUCGAGUUACUUCUUGAGCCGGGUAGUAAAAGACGA